UNUCCGGAUUUAUUGGGCGUAAAGCGAGCGCAGGCGGUUAGAUAAGUNUGAAGUUAAAGGCUGUGGCUUAACCAUAGUACGCUUUGGAAACUGUUUAACUUGAGUGCAAGAGGGGAGAGUAGAAUUCCAUGUGUAGCGGUGAAAUGCGUAGAUAUAUGGAGGAACACCGGUGGCGAAAGCGGCUCUCUGGCUUGUAACUGACGCUGAGGCUCGAAAGCGUGGGGAGCAAACAGGAUUAGAUACCCUGGUAGUNCACGCCGUAAACGAUGAGUGCUAGGUGUUAGACCCUUUCCGGGGUUUAGUGCCGCAGCUAACGCAUUAAGCACUCCGCCUGGGGAGUACGACCGCAAGGUUGAAACUCAAAGGAAUUGACGGGGGCCCGCACAAGCGGUGGAGCAUGUGGUUUAACUCGAAGCAACGCGAAGAACCUUACCAGGUCUUGACAUCCCUCUGACCGCUCUAGAGAUAGAGUUUUCCCUCGGGACAGAGGUGACAGGUGGUGCAUGGUUGUCGUCAGCUCGUGUCGUGAGAUGUUGGGUUAANNNNCGCAACGAGCGCAACCCCUAUUGUUAGUUGCCAUCAUUCAGUUGGGCACUCUAGCGAGACUGCCGGUAAUAAACCGGAGGAAGGUGGGGAUGACGUCAAAUCAUCAUGCCCCUUAUGACCUGGGCUACACACGUGCUACAAUGGCUGGUACAACGAGUCGCAAGCCGGUGACGGCAAGCUAAUCUCUUAAAGCCAGUCUCAGUUCGGAUUGUAGGCUGCAACUCGCCUACAUGAAGUCGGAAUCGCUAGUAAUCGCGGAUCAGCACGACGCGGUGAAUACGUUCCCGGGCCU
rnacentral:rRNA from 1 species